GAAGGAAUCUCCUGCGUAGGCAGAGGAAAGAGACGAUUCGCGAUGAGCUGCAGACGCCCUGAUGGCCUGAGCCGCCAAGGAGGAAGACGAAUUAAAUGUUUGAGAAGAUUUUAACAUAUUACUCCUUUUAACGUCGUUGUUAUUGAUAUCAUCUUCUGGCUUGCGAUAUAUCUCUUCUUUGAAGGUGGAAGCCCUCGUGAUUCCCUGC
rnacentral:misc_RNA from 1 species